rnacentral:rRNA from 1 species
GACGAACGCUGGCGGCGUGCUUAACACAUGCAAGUCGAACGAUGAAGAAAAGAAUUGAAGCUUCGGCAGAAAUUCAUUUCGGAUUAGUGGCAGACGGGUGAGUAACGCGUGAGCAACCUACCUCUUACAAAGGGAUAGCCUCGGGAAACCGGGAUUAAUACCAUAUAACAUUGCGACGAAGCAUUUCGAUGCAAUCAAAGCUACGGCGGUAAGAGAUGGGCUCGCGUCCCAUUAACCAGAUGGUGAGGUAACGGCUCACCAUAGUAACGAUGGGUAACCGGGCUGAGAGGGUGAACGGUCACACUGGAACUGAGACACGGUCCAGACUCCUACGGGAGGCAGCAGUGGGGAAUAUUGCACAAUGGAGGGAACUCUGAUGCAGCGACGCCGCGUGAGUGAUGAAGGAAUUCGUUUCGUAAAACUCUGUUCUAUGGGAAGAAAAGGACUGUACCAUAGGAGAAAGCUCCGGCUAAAUACGUG